GGUUCUCAAGAAAAGAAUUUUAGUUCAACCUAAAGUAAAUAAUAUACAUUAAAAUUAUUUUAUACUUUAGAGCAAUUCAAAUAAGGUACAGCCUAUUUGAUGAGGGAUACAACCCCUACUAACGGGUACAAUACUUAAAUUAUACCUUAAGUAGGCCUAAAAGCAGCCAUCUUUUAAAAAGCGUCAAAGCUUAGCAAUAUAAACACCAAUUUCUAAAUUUAAAUUCACCCCUUUUUUACUACUGAGAACUUCUAUAACAUUAUAGAAAUUUUUAUGCUAAAACUAGUAACAAGAGGUAACCCCCUCUCUAAGAUGUAAACAUAAACCAGGAUGAAUAAAUCACUGGUAAUUAACAAAUUUAAUUAAAAGUAAUAACUCACCUAGAAAACAUUACUUAACUUAUUGUUAACCUAACACAAGAACAUCCCAAGAAAGAUUAAAAGAAAAAGAAGGAACUCGGCAAAUAUUAACCCCGCCUGUUUACCAAAAACAUCACCUCUUGCUUCUAUAAGAGGCCAUGCCUGCCCAGUGACUCAUGUUUAACGGCCGCGGUAUCCUAACCGUGCAAAGGUAGCGUAAUCACUUGUCUUUUAAAUAAAGACUUGUAUGAAAGGCUUCACGAAGGUUGUACUGUCUCCUUUUUCUAAUCAGUAAACCUAAUCUCCCUGUGAAGAAGCGGGGAUAAUUAUAUAAGACGAGAAGACCCUAUGGAGCUUAAAACACAAUAACACUUAAUUAACCCCUUACUACUACGGUACCUACCAAUAUCUUAUGCUGAUUAUAUGUUUUCGGUUGGGGUGACCGCGGAGAACAAUUUAUCCUCCAUGAUGAAAGAGUAUAAACCUCUAAACAACAAGCCACAACUUUAAGUAUCAAAAAUUUGACAUAAAUGAUCCAAUACUUUGAUCAACGAACCAAGUUACCCUA
rnacentral:rRNA from 1 species